rnacentral:rRNA from 1 species
GACGAACCGAGCGAACGUUGUUCGGAAUCACUGGGCUUAAAGGGCGCGUAGGCGGGUGCUCAAGUCCGGGGUGAAAUCCCACAGCUCAACUGUGGAAUUGCCUCGGAUACUGGGUGUCUCGAGGGUGGUAGGGGUAUGCGGAACUAUCGGUGGAGCGGUGAAAUGCGUUGAUAUCGAUAGGAACUCCGGUGGCGAAGGCGGCAUACUGGGCCACUGCUGACGCUGAUGCGCGAAAGCCAGGGGAGCAGACGGG